GCUCAGAUGAUCACGGAACAAAGCAGGAUAUUCAAGUGGCUGAAAAAUUAUUUUCCAAAUUUCACGGGGGAUGCCACCCAGCUUACUGUGUAUGAUGAGGCUCAAGCACGAUCGCAAGAUACACAAUUACGUUAUACUGCUUACUGUUUAGGAUGGAGGGUGAAAAAUAUUUUCUCUUUUGCAAAGUCUCACCCUUAAUCACAUUAUUCUUGACAGUGGGCCGAAAACAGCUCAUUAUCUAUCUUUAUAUAUUCAUUCUAGUUUCAUUUAGAUUGACUUAAUUAAUUUGUUAUACUAUUCUCUUUUGCGUCUCUUUUUCAAGUAAAAUUCGGCAACUCACUCUCUCUCAAACCAUGGCAAAAUCGCGUCUUUUAUUGGUAUCGUUGCCUAUAUAUAUAGCCUUAUACGAAAUUAUAAUGAUAACUGGAUGGGUGUCAGUAUCACUGUAUGGGGGAGUUAUAAAAUUGGUUGGGUAGUAAAAGGAGAAGGGAGGGAGUAAAAGGUCUCAUGUUCAAUUUUUCUUAUUAACAAAAAAUUAAUAAUUAACAACAAAUAUUUAUCGAUAAAAAAAAAAAAUCACUGUAUCGGUGUCCAACUCUUUGGAAGCAUGCUUUGAUGUAAUAACAAGAAUUUUCUGAUAUGUAUGCAAUGCAUAUUCUGUCUAUUGUAAUUUGUAAAUACCAUUUAUUUUAAAACUGGGACUUAUCUUCCGUGUGCUUUCAGUUGCCAUGAGAAGCCAUUCUCUCCGUUGUAUUGUACUAAAGGCGAAAUAGUAAUGGUUGCCACUUACUCCACUAACAAAAGGGGUCAAAAGGAGCUCACAAGUAUAGGAGACAUCUAUCAAUGGGUUAAACAACAGAUCUAAUGGCACCACACCCAAAACAUUACACAAGGAGUCUGUGAAUCUUUUUACUUGUGGUCCUCUCAGCCCAUUUUGGAGUUUGGACCAAUAUGGAACUUCAUUACUCGCACUCUACUAUCCAACAUUACUAUCCAUAUAUUCCUAUGAUAUAAAGCUUUGAAGGUGCUAAGUGAAUACGUAAUUAUGUAUUCAAUGGCAAGUGGUAACAUGGCAUUUGUGCUUAUACGUAAAAUACUUUUCUGAAUCACUCAUGGAUUGGUAGCUCAAAAAAUUGGUGAACAUGAUGCAUCUUCUAUCUUGUGGUCCUUGUGUUGCAUAUUAGUAUGCAGAAUCCCAACUGAACCUCUUAUAUUCUUACUGAAAAUGUUAGUGGAAAAUGCCAUAAUGACAUUGUGGCUGCUGCAACUUUUAUUAUGGUUGAUUAGCACAAAUUUUGUGCAAUAACUGAGUGUCUGGAGUUUAUGUCAACGAGUGUGAUUUCCAUCGGGGAAUUCUAUUGACAAUCUUAGAUAGGCAUUGCUUUGCAA